rnacentral:lncRNA from 1 species
GCGAAGCCCUUUUCCCUAUUCCUGGAGCUGUGUUCCACCUGCCGCCUGGCACUCAGGCCCCACCCUUCCUGCUCUUGGUGCCUCAAGUAGUCUCCACCAACCCUGUGGUGUGGCCAGCCCCAUGCUGCUCAAGCUGCAGCAAAAGAGGAAGCAGACACUGCUCUCAAGAGUGUUGCAGCUUGAUCGGUAAAACAGCUACUUCUGUUGAAGAAUCUACCAGCCAUCGUGCCUCUUUGGACCAAGGACCCCUGAGACACCAGCUCCUGUGCCUGUCCUAACCUCCCCCGAGAGCUGCUUCCUCCUUGCCUGUGAGAAGGCCUUAGCAGCAUGAGCCCAGCUGCUCUACCUUCUCCUCCCCUUCCUCCAGCAAGGUGAGCUCUAUAUCCCCAGCCCAGAGAAGUGGGCUUGCUCCUCAAAUGUCCAGGGGCCAGCCCCAAGCUGUGAUGAUUCAGGGAGAUUCCAGGGUGAGGGAGAGCAGGGAAUGAUUAAUCUCACAGCUAAUAGAUAACUGUGCCCACCCCCUACCCACAGGAGACAGCACUUGGAGCUAUAUCACUAGGAGGGGCCAGGGGUUAAAUGUGGCCACUAGAGAGCCCAUAGUUCUGGGAGGGGCAAGCCCCUGAGGCUGGAUCUGGGGCUGGCUCUUGGGGAAGGAGGGAUCUUGCUGGCUGGACAGCAAGAAGAAUCUGGGUAGACAGAUGUGGCUCAUAGUCAGCCCUGCUUCCUCAUGCCAUGUCUGGGGCCUGGAGUCUGAGGAAGCAGCCUGUGAGGACAAACUACCCAUGCAAUGAGACUCAGGGGAGUGUGUCUGUCUUCCAGAGACGCCCCCGCCUCCUGACUUGGCCUUUCCUUCCCUGUGAGUCCUGUCCCACCCCCACAUUUGGGCAGCUGAGUUGGAUGAGGUGGGAAAUGUAGGCAGUGUGAUUUUGUAGCAAAUGGCAGCUCAAAGCUGUGUGAUCUUGGGCAAAAUGUUAACCCUUUCUGAGCUUUGGUUCCCAUCCUUAUUCAGUGAGGCAAUCAGGGCUGCUCUGUGGGCUGAAUGAGACCACGCAGGUAAAGCUCUUAACACGGAUGGUUAUGAGCUCCAGGCAUGCUCGCUUUUCCCUGCUAACCAACCUUGGGCUUGGCAAGUUCUCUCUAGUGCAGCUCUGGGUGGCAGUGACUUCAGUUUAAACCCAGCUCAGCACCUUAAGGGGUGGGGUGUGAACUGGCCUCAAGGGGCCCAGUUAGAGCCCUUGUGGAAGCACAGGGCAAAGCCAGCUCUCCAAUCUCUCUGCAGAAACUCCUGAGGCUGAGCCUCAUAACUUAUAUGAGGUCAGAGCAGCCCUCGAAGGUCCUGGCCAGCAGCCGGUGGAUUCAGAGCGGGGAGCCCUCUCAGAGUUUUCCAUCCUUCAGCCAACAAGUGAAGACCUGCUGUCUACACCACUGGGGCCGAGGGAGUGAACUUGCAGCUCCAGAAGCAGCACACACACAGGAGGUGUUGCUGUGGACCAGGAGGACUGCACACACGUUCAGAGCAGGAGAUAAAGGGGUCGAGGAAGGCCUCCGGGAUGAAGGGCCUUGAGCAGGACCCUGAGAACACAUUGGAUUUAGGACCCUGGCUGAUAUACCUGCUGUGUGAGCCCCUCUCCAUGGCCCAAUCUCUCGCCCCGCCUGAUGUCCUGGUAUUACUGCUGUCAUCGUCACCACCAGCCCCUUCACACCCCCAACUUUUAGUGAG